GACGAACGCUGGCGGCGUGCUUAACACAUGCAAGUCGAACGGAAAGGCCCUGCUUUUGUGGGGUGCUCGAGUGGCGAACGGGUGAGUAACACGUGAGUAACCUGCCCUUGACUUUGGGAUAACUUCAGGAAACUGGGGCUAAUACCGGAUAGGAGCUCCUGCUGCAUGGUGGGGGUUGGAAAGUUUCGGCGGUUGGGGAUGGACUCGCGGCUUAUCAGCUUGUUGGUGGGGUAGUGGCUUACCAAGGCUUUGACGGGUAGCCGGCCUGAGAGGGUGACCGGCCAAAUUGGGACUGAGAUGAGGCCCAGACUCCUACGGGAGGCAGCGGUGGGGAAUAGUGCACAAUGGGCGGAAGCCUGAUGCAGCAACGCCGCGUGCGGGAUGACGGCCUUCGGGUUGUAAACCGAUUUCGCCUGUGACGAAGCGUGAGUGACGGUAAUGGGUAAAGAAGCACCGGCUAACUACGUG
rnacentral:rRNA from 1 species